rnacentral:ncRNA from 1 species
UAAAACAGUAGAUCCCGGGGGGGGGGGUUUUUUAAGUAAUUUUUUAUAUUAGGAUGCCUGCCAUACCUUUGUGGUGCGCGCAGAGGAGCAAGUUUAUUUUCCUUUUUCUUGACUUAAUUUCUCUUUUCUUUUAAGUCUCCUCUAUAUAUUUUGUCCCUAUCUACUAUCUAGCGAAACAACAGCCGGGCUUGGAAGCGGGGAAAGAAGACCCUGUUGAGCUUGAUUCUAGUCUGACUCUGUGAAGAGACAUGAGAGGUGUAGCAUAAGUGGGAGGCCGUGAACGUUCGCGGUUGUGUCGUGCCGUCAGUGAAAUACCACUACUUUCACCGUUUCUUUACUUACUCGGUGAAGCGGAAAGCGGACCAUGAGUGUCCACGCUUCUAGCACUAAGUGCAAGGCCCUUCGUUGGCCCGCACGAUCUGUUCCGAGGACAGUGUCAGGCGGGUAGUUUGACUGGGGCGGUACAUCUGUCAAAUGGUAACGCAGGUGUCCUAAGGCGAGCUCAGCGAGGACAGAAACCUCGCGUAGAGCAAGAGGGCAAAUGCUUGCUUGAUCUUGAUUUUCAGUACGAUUACAGACCGCGAAAGCGGGGCCUCUCGACCCUUUUGACUUUAAGAGUUUUAAGCAAGAGGUGUCAGAAAAGUUACCACAGGGAUAACUGGCUUGUGGCGGCCA